UGAAAAGAGGAAGAAUGGGUUUGAAGAAGAAUGGUUCACGCCUCCAAGAAUACUUUCCUCCUACUGCAACACAAAAAACCAUGAUCUAAUAACAAAUAUCCAUAUUCAAAUUCAAAUCCCUAACAAUUCCUCCGCCGCCGCGAAUUCUUCGACCGCCGGUGGUUCCGCUUCUGCUCCCGCGGCGGAGCAGCUUAAGGGGAAGGAGAGUGAGUGGGAGAAUAUGGAAGCUAUGUGUUAGGAAACAUGGCAUCUAUGGAAGGAAGGAGAUAAAUCUAACAAACUCUUUAUAUUGAUAGAAAUGGAAUAUUACAAAAUGAGAAAAAGUUAUCCCACUAAUGGGGUUAUUACAAGUAUAUAUACUACUACAAACUAGUAUCUCUAAUAGUCCCCCUCAAGUUGGAAGGUGUUCAAAAACACUUCCAACUUGAAAUGAGAAAAUACAAGGAAAGAUGCCGGAAACACAUCGGCUAAAAAAAUAUAGUCAUCAAACAAGAGCUUAUCCAACAAGAAGCAACCACAACUCAAGGUUGAACCAAUUGAAGGAAGGAGCAUCAAAGCAACGCUUAACCACCAUCCGGUAGAAGCCAAUAUCCACAAAGCCAUAAAAGGCACAACGCUUAACCAUCAAGAGUUUUCCAUAACUCAAGACAGAAG
rnacentral:lncRNA from 1 species